GGCAGACUCAGCAGUCUCACUUGGUAGC
rnacentral:piRNA from 1 species